CAGCAGCUGGGCCUGAUUCUCACAAAACCAAAACAGACGUGAUGAAAUUCCAGAUUUAAAUACGUUUGACCUUCCUUUGUCCAAUUUGAUUUGGAAAAGCUUGAAAAUCAACUAAAGAAGCAGCCCGAACAAAUGAAGAAACUAGUAGCCUACUUUGGAAUCAUUGGUGUUUUCCACUGAGCAGUUUGCCGUAUCCUGGAAAAGCUUCUGGCUAACUCAUUGGCUAAACAAAUUAACUGGAGCGGACCAAAUUAAAAAGUGGCCUUUCGUGCACUACCCCUUAGGACUGUCAUAGUCAAUGCAGUGAGGACAAAUGUCCAUACCACACCA